UGAACUAUAUGUAUAGUAAUUUUGGUGAUUAUUUCUAUCAAAUAAUUUGCUGUUCCUUUUUUAGAUCGACUUGAAGGAGAUUCAUGCAACAAUUGAUUUGUUUACUCCUGUUCCUUUCAUAUGCAUCUUUUGUAGUGCUCUUGCUUACCUUGGUUUUGUGUGGAUUGAACUUCUAGUUGAUGCUUCAUCUUUUUUUAUGGAGCAUUGGAGAUUAGGAGGACAACUUUAAUUGGAAAAUUUGGAAAUGAGAUUCAUUGCAUAGUAAAAUUUGUGUUAUCAUGAAUGCUAAUCUUAUUGAAGCCUUUAAAUAUGUUGAAAGCACAAAGGAAUUCCAGGUCUUCUUAUCACACUCACACACAAAGAAGAUGGUAAUGGAGCCCUAAAGUUUGAAAUUUUCAUUUCUUCUAAUCUUUACCUCCUUUCCGUAUAACAUUCGGUUCAUUAACUUCCAUUUUAGAAAUUUUUAAGGAAUAUUUCAAAAUUUGUCCUAAAUGCAUCUUGUUAUUUGGUUCAACCCUUCCUCUGCUCCCCAUAGUUCCAUGACCUACUCUUCUUUGAUGUGCUAAACCCAAUGGCAGCCAGGCUGAUUCAUCUUUUGUAUUCUCAAAUGAUUUUUUUUUCGUGUACCGCAAUGGUGCUCAUAAUCAGAAUUGCUUCACGGUUGCUUUUCAAUAUGUUGGCAGUGCCGGUUCAAUCAUCUGCAAUGAUCUUUGCCUUAAUGAUAAAGUUAUGUUUUCUCGCUCUCUCUGUUGAGAUUCUGGGUUUGAGUGGGUUUUCCAGAUUUAUUGUCCAUGAUGUGGAGUAGCUGAAAGACAUUUAGUUUUUAGCUGAUCUCGAACUGAAUCCAGUUGGCCCCUCAGAUUACCAGUAUGUGGGGGUCGAGCUGAGAUUGAGCCAACAAAAAUAGUUGAAGUCAAGAGUGGAAAGCUCAGGGGAUUUUCUUUCCCCCUUUCUCUCCUGUCCCUUUUCUCCAGUGCCAAAUGAAGCCUUUUCACAAUGGCAAUAUGAUCCUCAAGGCUUUUGGCAUGCUAUAGGAAUCACAAGGGAAUCAUGGCCAUCAGAGUUGCUCCAGAAGUUGGAUAAUUGUUAAGGGAACAGCCAGACACUGGUUGAUACUUGUCUUGGGUUUUAAUAAACACAAACUAUAGGGGAAGCUUUGUCAAGUAAGCUCCAUUGGUGCAGCAAAACAGAUUCUGUCAAGACAAAGCAUUGAGAAAAGAAUGCUUUUGUUUUGUUGCAUCUAACGGUGUAUAUGAAUAUUCGUACCAAAAGAAGACAAGAGAAGAGAAGAGAAGAAAAGAGAGAAAGAAAAGUGGAGGACGGCUGCUUCUUUCUCCUUCUAUUGGGUUUUGUGUAAGCCGAGGAGAAGGAAAUACUCUUUUAGCCUAAUAAGCCGAGAUGUCCUUGUCGUUUGAAAAAUGGCAAGAGGAGGAUAGAGAGGGUGGUUAAGGUUUGUAGAUAUACUAUUACUUUUUGGCCCCUUUGACUAACAUUGACAUCUCAUUUACGUA